UCGUUUCUAUCACAUGGUAAUCGAGGAGCUUGUAUCCCGACCUUAUUCGGGUGAGAACUCAUUCGAGUUAUUCAUUAUUAUCAUUUCUCACUAGAAUCUUCUCUCCUCUGUCUUCACUCUCUCUGUGAUAGUUCUUUGUCUUUCUUCUCCUCCUUCAUCACUUCAAUCAUGUGUGUGGCAUGCUAAGUUCUUACGGUGAUGACCUUCUGGUUAUUGAAAUCGUGUUCGAUGGCUAGGUUAGGGUUUGUGGUGGUUUGUGAAGAUGGUUUGUGUCUUCUUCUUUCUCACUUGCAAUUGCUCGGUAAAGGAUAACAGUCUUUUGUAGAUCUGUGGUUGUGUUGUGUCUAAGCCUUCGUUAUGAAAUCUGUACACUUUUAGGUAGUAGUACUUCUUUACAUUUUUGGUUUUGUAAUAAUUUAGAUCUAGUCUUAUCUUGUAUAGAUCUGAGGUUUUAAUAUUUUUCUUUCGGAAUAUUUGAUAUUAGUUUGUGUU